GACGAACGCUGGCGGCGUGCUUAACACAUGCAAGUCGAACGGAAAGGCCCUGCUUUUGUGGGGUGCUCGAGUGGCGAACGGGUGAGUAACACGUGAGUAACCUGCCCUUGACUUUGGGAUAUCUUCAGGAAACUGUGGCUAAUACCGGAUAGGAUCUCCUGCUGCAUGGUGGGGGUUGGAAUGUUUCGGCGGUUGGGGAUGGACUCGCGGCUUAUCAGCUUGUUGGUGGGGUAGUGGCUUACCAAGGCUUUGACGGGUAGCCGGCCUGAGAGGGUGACCGGCCAAAUUGGGACUGAGAUACGGCCCAGACUCCUACGGGAGGCAGCAGUGGGGAAUAUUGCACAAUGGGCGGAAGCCUGAUGCAGCAACGCCGCGUGCGGGAUGACGGCCUUCGGGUUGUAAACCGCUUUCGCCUGUGACGAAGCGUGAGUGACGGUAAUGGGUAAAGAAGCACCGGCUAACUACGUG
rnacentral:rRNA from 1 species